GGUUAAGCGACUAAGCGUACACGGUGGAUGCCCUGGCAGUCAGAGGCGAUGAAGGACGUGCUAAUCUGCGAAAAGCGUCGGUAAGGUGAUAUGAACCGUUAUAACCGGCGAUGUCCGAAUGGGGAAACCCAGUGCAAUUCGUUGCACUAUCGUUAACUGAAUACAUAGGUUAACGAGGCGAACCGGGGGAACUGAAACAUCUAAGUACCCCGAGGAAAAGAAAUCAACCGAGAUUCCCCCAGUAGCGGCGAGCGAACGGGGAGCAGCCCAGAGUCUGAAUCAGCUUGUGUGUUAGUGGAACGGUCUGGAAAGUCCGACGGUACAGGGUGAUAGUCCCGUACACCAAAAUGCACAGGCUGUGAACUCGAAGAGUAGGGCGGGACACGUGGUAUCCUGUCUGAAUAUGGGGGGACCAUCCUCCAAGGCUAAAUACUCCUGACUGACCGAUAGUGAACCAGUACCGUGAGGGAAAGGCGAAAAGAACCCCGGCGAGGGGAGUGAAAAAGAACCUGAAACCGUGUACGUACAAGCAGUGGGAGCACCUUCGGGUGUGACUGCGUACCUUUUGUAUAAUGGGUCAGCGACUUAUAUUCUGUAGCAAGGUUAACCGUAUAGGGGAGCCGCAGGGAAACCGAGUCUUAACUGGGCGUUAAGUUGCAGGGUAUAGACCCGAAACCCGGUGAUCUAGCCAUGGGCAGGUUGAAGGUUGGGUAACACUAACUGGAGGACCGAACCGACUAAUGUUGAAAAAUUAGCGGAUGACUUGUGGCUGGGGGUGAAAGGCCAAUCAAACCGGGAGAUAGCUGGUUCUCCCCGAAAGCUAUUUAGGUAGCGCCUCGUGAAUUCAUCUUCGGGGGUAGAGCACUGUUUCGGCUAGGGGGUCAUCCCGACUUACCAACCCGAUGCAAACUACGAAUACCGAAGAAUGUUAUCACGGGAGACACACGGCGGGUGCUAACGUCCGUCGUGAAGAGGGAAACAACCCAGACCGCCAGCUAAGGUCCCAAAGUCAUGGUUAAGUGGGAAACGAUGUGGGAAGGCACAGACAGCCAGGAUGUUGGCUUAGAAGCAGCCAUCAUUUAAAGAAAGCGUAAUAGCUCACUGGUCGAGUCGGCCUGCGCGGAAGAUGUAACGGGGCUAAACCAUGCACCGAAGCUGCGGCAGCGACACUAUGUGUUGUUGGGUAGGGGAGCGUUCUGUAAGCCUGCGAAGGUGUGCUGUGAGGCAUGCUGGAGGUAUCAGAAGUGCGAAUGCUGACAUAAGUAACGAUAAAGCGGGUGAAAAGCCCGCUCGCCGGAAGACCAAGGGUUCCUGUCCAACGUUAAUCGGGGCAGGGUGAGUCGACCCCUAAGGCGAGGCCGAAAGGCGUAGUCGAUGGGAAACAGGUUAAUAUUCCUGUACUUGGUGUUACUGCGAAGGGGGGACGGAGAAGGCUAUGUUAGCCGGGCGACGGUUGUCCCGGUUUAAGCAUGUAGGCUGGUUGUCCAGGCAAAUCCGGAUAAUCAAGGCUGAGGUGUGAUGACGAGGCACUACGGUGCUGAAGUAACAAAUGCCCUGCUUCCAGGAAAAGCCUCUAAGCAUCAGGUAACAUCAAAUCGUACCCCAAACCGACACAGGUGGUCAGGUAGAGAAUACCAAGGCGCUUGAGAGAACUCGGGUGAAGGAACUAGGCAAAAUGGUGCCGUAACUUCGGGAGAAGGCACGCUGGUGUGUAGGUGAAGUCCCUGCGGAUGGAGCUGAGACCAGUCGAAGAUACCAGCUGGCUGCAACUGUUUAUUAAAAACACAGCACUGUGCAAACACGAAAGUGGACGUAUACGGUGUGACGCCUGCCCGGUGCCGGAAGGUUAAUUGAUGGGGUUAUCCGUAAGGAGAAGCUCUUGAUCGAAGCCCCGGUAAACGGCGGCCGUAACUAUAACGGUCCUAAGGUAGCGAAAUUCCUUGUCGGGUAAGUUCCGACCUGCACGAAUGGCGUAAUGAUGGCCAGGCUGUCUCCACCCGAGACUCAGUGAAAUUGAACUCGCUGUGAAGAUGCAGUGUACCCGCGGCAAGACGGAAAGACCCCGUGAACCUUUACUAUAGCUUGACACUGAACAUUGAGCCUUGAUGUGUAGGAUAGGUGGGAGGCUUUGAAGCGUGGACGCCAGUCUGCGUGGAGCCAACCUUGAAAUACCACCCUUUAAUGUUUGAUGUUCUAACGUUGGCCCCUGACCGGGGUUGCGGACAGUGUCUGGUGGGUAGUUUGACUGGGGCGGUCUCCUCCCAAAGCGUAACGGAGGAGCACGAAGGUUAGCUAAUCCUGGUCGGACAUCAGGAGGUUAGUGCAAUGGCAUAAGCUAGCUUGACUGCGAGCGUGACGGCGCGAGCAGGUGCGAAAGCAGGUCAUAGUGAUCCGGUGGUUCUGAAUGGAAGGGCCAUCGCUCAACGGAUAAAAGGUACUCCGGGGAUAACAGGCUGAUACCGCCCAAGAGUUCAUAUCGACGGCGGUGUUUGGCACCUCGAUGUCGGCUCAUCACAUCCUGGGGCUGAAGUAGGUCCCAAGGGUAUGGCUGUUCGCCAUUUAAAGUGGUACGCGAGCUGGGUUUAGAACGUCGUGAGACAGUUCGGUCCCUAUCUGCCGUGGGCGCUGGAGAAUUGAGGGGGGCUGCUCCUAGUACGAGAGGACCGGAGUGGACGCAUCACUGGUGUUCGGGUUGUCAUGCCAAUGGCACUGCCCGGUAGCUAAAUGCGGAAGAGAUAAGUGCUGAAAGCAUCUAAGCACGAAACUUGCCCCGAGAUGAGUUCUCCCUGAGACUUUAAGUCUCCUGAAGGAACGUUAAAGACGAUGACGUUGAUAGGCCGGGUGUGUAAGCGCAGCGAUGCGUUGAGCUAACCGGUACUAAUGAACCGUGAGGCUUAACCUU
rnacentral:rRNA from 1 species